GGGAGAGCUAGGCUGAGCAGGGAAGAACAGGAAAUGGGGGCGGGGAUGAAAACCUGCAUCACAACAAAAGGAUUUCCCUGAUUGCAGAAAUGAGUCAAACAUCUCUGAAGCUGAAAAAGAAGGUCAGUGAUUCGAAUGCCCUAGAGUCUUACCGAGGAGCUGAGGAAACACAAAUACCAGUCUAUCCUUCACCUCUGGGAAUUCUCACAAUUUCUACCUGGUAAUAAUUCAGAUACUGAGAGUAAUUUGAUCAUAAGACCAGAAGAUACAUCCGUCAAUAAUCUGCACAGGAUUAAGGUCUUUGUUUUAAAAACAUCACACUAAUAUUGGUGAGGGACAGAUACACAGAACACUGCUGCUAUAAUUAUUAAGAAAACAAACAGAAAGUUUUAAUUCUAU
ensembl:lncRNA